AUAUUGGGCAAUGCCCGAAAGGGUGACCCAGCAACGCCGCGUGGAGGAUGAAGGUCGUAAGAUUGUAAACUCCUGUUAGAGGGGAAGAAUAACUAAGUUUGGAGCUUAGUAUGACUGUACCCUCAGAGAAAGCCCCGGCUAACUACGUGCCAGCCGCCGCGGUAAUACGUAGGGGGCAAGCGUUGUCCGGAUCUACUGGGUGUAAAGGGCGCGCAGGCGGGAUAAAAAGUCAGUGGUGAAAUCCUACAGCUUAACUGUAGAACUGCCUUUGAUACUUUUAUUCUUGAGUUCGGGAGAGAGAGACGGAAGUCCAUGUGUAGGUGUGAAAUACGUAGAUAUCUGGAAGAACACCAGUGGCUAAGGCGGUCUCUUGGUCCUACACUGACGCUGAGGCGCGAAAGCGUGGGGAGCAAACA
rnacentral:rRNA from 1 species